rnacentral:rRNA from 1 species
UACGAAGGGGGCUAGCGUUGCUCGGAAUUACUGGGCGUAAAGGGCGCGUAGGCGGACAUUUUAAGUUGGGGGUGAAAGCCCGGGGCUCAACCUCGGAAUUGCCUUCAAUACUGGAUGUCUUGAGUUCGGGAGAGGUGAGUGGAAUGCCGAGUGUAGAGGUGAAAUUCGUAGAUAUUCGGCGGAACACCAGUGGCGAAGGCGACUCACUGGCCCGGUACUGACGCUGAGGCACGAAGGUCAGGGGAGCAAACGGGG